AACGUAGGAGACAAACGUUAUCCGGAGUUACUGGGCGUAAAGGGCGUGUAGGCGGUUCGUUAAGUCUGGCGUGAAAGCUCUCGGCUAAACCGGGAGAGGUCGUUGGAUACUGGCAAACUAGAGGACGAUAGAGGCGUGUGGAAUUCCGGGUGUAGUGGUGAAAUGCGUAGAUAUCAAGAGGAACACCUGAGGUGAAGACGGGUUGCUGGGCCAACACUGACGCUGAUGCGCGAAAGCCAGGGGAGCAAACGGG
rnacentral:rRNA from 1 species